AGAUGGAUUGGUGCCUUCGGGAACUCGUGACACAGGUGCUGCAUGGCUGGUCGUCAGCUCGUGUCGUGAGAUGUUGGUUAAGGUCCCGUAACGAGCGCAACCCUUGCCUUUAGUUGCCAGCAGUUCGGCUGGGCACUCUAAAGGGAACUGCCGGUGUUAAACCGGAGGAAGGUGGGGAGUGACGUCAAGUCCUCAUGGCCUUUAUGACCAGGGCUACACACGUACUACAAUGGCCGAUACAAAGGGCAGCGACACUGCGAGGUGAAGCCAAUCCCGUAAAAUCGGUACUCAGUCCGGAUUGGAGUCUGCAACUCGACUCCAUGAAGUUGGAAUCGCUAGUAAUCGCGCAUCAGCCAUGGCGCGGUGAAUACGUUCCCGGGCCUU
rnacentral:rRNA from 1 species